rnacentral:rRNA from 1 species
GAUGAACGCUAGCUCCAGGCUUAACACAUGCAAGUCGGGGGACCGGCGCACGGGUGAGUAACGCGUAUCCAACCUACCCAUUACUGUGGGAUAACCUGCCGAAAGGCAGACUAAUACCGCAUAGUAAUGGAUGGGGAUGCGUCUGAUUAGCUUGUUGGCGGGGUAACGGCCCACCAAGGCGACGAUAAGUAGGGGUUCUGAGAGGAACGUCGCCCACAUGGGAACUGAGACAAGGUGCAGACUCGUACGGGAGGAAGCAGUGAGGAAUAUUGUUCAAUGGGCGCGAGCCGGAACCAGCCAAUUAGCGUGCAGGAUGACGGCCUAUGGGUUGUAAUCUGCUUUUGUAUGGGGAUAGUUAUCAUACGAAUAAGGACCGGCUAAUUCCGUGCCAGCCGCGGCGGUAAUAC